rnacentral:lncRNA from 1 species
GUUUCUUCCUAUUCCUCCCUCCAGGCAAAAUCCUAGAGAGGCAAAAUUGAACAAUAAAAAGCAUGAGAAAGAGAAAACUAGGGCUGCUUCUGGGAAGAACUUAAGAGAGAUAAGGUAUUGAGGAGUGAGAAGUCCCAGAUAAUCAAGAUUUGUGGGCUGGGCAUGGUGGCACACACCCGUAAUCCCAGUACUUUGGGAAGCUAAGGCAGGAGGCAGGUGGAUGGCUUGAGCUCAUGAGUUCGAGAUCAGUCUGGGCAACAUGACAAAACCCUGUCUCUACAAAAAAAUACAAAAAUUAGCCGAGCCCAGUGGCAUGCGACUCUAUUCCCAGCUACUCGGGAGGCUGAGGUGGGAGGAUCACUUGAGCCUUACUGCACUCCAACCUGGGUGACAGAGUGAGACAUUGUCAAACAAACAAACAAACAAACAAAAAACAGCCAAAAGAUUUGUGAGCAACACAGAAGUGUUGCCGUCGGUUUUCAGGUCUUCUGAGAGAUGAAGUAUUGGAGAACCUGUUUGCUCUUGUUGGUUUCCAUGGGUCACGUGAGCCCUGUGGCUUAUAUUUGGGUUACAUCAGAGCAGGUAAAUCAGUUGAUGAUGGUCAAUAACGCAGUCUCUCUAGACAGGGUGAACGGUGUCUGCGGUGUCUCAGGACUUAGGAUUGGAGAGAGUCCCUUCCUAGUACCCUUUGUCCAUGAAGCUCUGAGGGAGCCACAGAAGGUACCCCAAAAGGUAAAAGCAGCUCAGCCUAGAUUGCCAGGCAUGGCUAGCUCUGGAGUAAAGUGAGUUCCCUUGCCGAGCCUGGUACUGCUAAUCUUGCUGUAAGCAGACUCUUUGGACAGCAAGGGUGAGAGAGGUCUGAUUAGGGAGCAGGGACCCAAGAUAGCCUCCUAGGGAGGAAGCUCUCCAAGGGGCACUAGCCACCCCUGCUACUCAGUUUCAAUCCCAUUCCUAUGACCUAGUUCAUCUCUCACACUACCAUUUCCCAUCUGCCUCUUAUCUUAGGAUGCUCAGCUCUUUCAGGACACUCGUGACUACUCUCCUUUCCUGAUUUCUCAGGCCAACAGCCCUCCCUGACCCAAAUCAUCUUGAAGGUGUAUAUCCCUCCAAGUGAAUGGCUGACCUGGUGCUCUACCCCAUUUUUGAGUAUUCAAAGAUUAAGCCCCAGAAAUCCAUACUUUCCUUCCUUGAGCUCACAGACCUUCAUUUUGCACAUCUCCUAGGGGCCAGGCCUCACAUCUGCUAUAGACUUACUCCGCCAGGUUCAUGAAUCCCUGUGCCCUCACGUGACACUGGGUUAGUGCUCCCCCAGGGUAUGGAGGAGAGCAGAGGAAAGCCGUGACACCUGGCCCCUGGGUUACAGCUCCACAGAGAGGAGUCUGGGCAAAGAUCUCACUGUAUCCACAUUCAGGGUCACAGAUGCUUUAGCCAUUGUCUUCUGGGGCCUGGGAUGUCUCUAUCCUCUGCAACCUGUUUCUGCCCUUGCAAAGGCUAAGAAUGAAAGAGAGGAGGCAGGGUGGGGUGGCUCACACCUAUAAUCCCAGCAUUCUGGGAAGCCGAGGCAGGAGGAUCACUUGAGGUCAGGAGUUCGAAACCAGCCUAGCCAACACGGUGAAACCCCAUCUCUACUAAAAAAUGCAAAAAUUAGCUGGGUGUGGUGGCGGGUGCCUAUAGUCCCAGCUACUCUGGAGGCUGAGGCGGGAGAAUUGCUUGAACCCAGGAGGCGGAGGUUGCAGUGAGCCGAGAUUAUACCACUGCACUCCAGCCUGGGUGACAGAGCAAGGCUUCAUCUCUGGAAAAAAAAAAAAAAAGAAAAAAAAAAAAG